ACACGUGUGUAUAUAGCUGUCCAAGACAAACAGAAAUGUGCAUGUAGCAGUCCUAAACAACCAUCACAUCGUGUUAGCUAAAGCUUCUCCGUGCCCUAGAGAAAAGGACGUUUGAGGAUUACACAUUUUACACAACGAAAUGAAGAGAUGGUGUUUGGAAAAACGGACAAGAGUACGGAGAAAGAGAAGCUUGUCAGUGGGUCUGGCAAAACAAAGGCAAAACCAAACAUGGGCGAAAAACUCGACAUGGAAGAGAAACGGCCCGACGAGUCGGGUUCCAAAUUUUACGUGAUAGUUCUAACCAUGUUUGCCACCAUUGGGAGACCAAAGAACAGAAUAAAUACAAUAUGCUACAGUGUUUUGUUUUGAUGGUGAAAACACAGCCAGUCAGACGGGCCCUAGUGCUGGGUUGCACGCUCCAACUGUUCCAGCAGCUCUGUGGAAUUAACACUGUCAUCUACUACAGCGGAAGUAUUCUCCGAGUAUCCGGCUUUCCCUCCAGUCUUGCUAUUUGGUUAUCCUGUAUUCCGUUCACUGUUAACUUCCUGUGUACCUUUAUUGGAAUAUACGCCGUCGAAAAGGCUGGUAGAAGGGUCCUUACAUUGCUUAGUUUCAUAGGAAUCAUCAUCGCACUGAUUGUACUAGGCGCUGGCUUUCAGCUCUCUGAGAAAAAUUCCCCACCCAUCUCACUUCGCUUGGACAAUUCCUCGACUUGCCAUACUAAAUACGAUUCAUGUAACAGCUGCAUCAAAGACGAAAACUGCGGCUUUUGUUGGCAGGAAGGCAUGGAGAGCACCGCCGGUUGGUGUCUCCACGUGUACAAAGACCAUCCGGAGCGGUAUGCCAUGCCCGAGGGAAAUACCACCCACUACAACGAGUCGCUGUGUAACGCCACUAACUACGACACGGAGAAGUACAACUGGGCCAACGACUUCUGUCCCACCGACUACUCAUGGAUGGCUGUGCUCGGUCUGGCUUUAUUCGUCAUAGCCUUUGCUCCAGGUCUUGGCCCGAACCCUUGGACUAUCAACUCGGAGAUUUACCCUCUGUGGGCGCGAGGAACAGGAACCUCUUUGGCUACGUGUGUUAACUGGAUCGGCAAUCUUAUCGUCUCAUUCACCUUCCUCCUGCUGCUCAAAACCAUCACCACAUACGGCACAUUUUACCUUUUCUGUGGAAUCUCGUUUCUCGGCAUGUCAAUCCUGUUCUUCAUUUUACCGGAAACCAAGAACAAGACUUUGGAGGAAGUUGAGGAACUGUUCAUGUCCAAGGAAUACAAAGCCAAGAGGGAAGAGGAACAGAAGAAAAAGUACCAGUACGACAACAGCGGAUACGUGGAUAGUUCCAAAAUGUAACGAACCGGAAAAAUAUAUCCCGGAUGUCAAACAUCUACAGCUUUCGUACGAUCUUACGCAGCUUCCGGUGUGUUGCGGUUCUCGAUACCCUUUUGUGCAAGACGUUAAAUGCUUUUGUAUAAUAUUGUUCGCUAGUUGAAAUAUGAUGCAUUUGUUCGUGGUGCGUAGUUAAGAAUUGGACUCAAAUUAUAGAAUCUUAGUUAUGAUUUCAGUUAAUCUGAAUCCAACAAGAACGAAACAAUGGGUAUAGUGACAUGUAGUUUAGUUUCUCAACAAUUUUGUGUUGUGUGCGUGGUCGAUUUAUUGUUUAGUAUUGUAAAUAUUAAUGUUGUACAGCAUAAUCUAGUUUAUAGAAACAUGAGCUUGCCUAUGUAUACUAUAUAUAUUAUGUUAUAUCUAUGUACUCUUGGAAACAUUUUGUUUGUAUAUAUAAAUUCAUCCUAUAAAUCAUAUUCAACAGUUUUUAAAUUAAAGUCAAUAUCAUAACAAC
rnacentral:misc_RNA from 1 species